CCUACGGGAGGCAGCAGUGGGGAAUAUUGCACAAUGGGCGCAAGCCUGAUGCAGCGACGCCGCGUGGGGGAUGACGGCCUUCGGGUUGUAAACUCCUUUCGCUAGGGACGAAGCUUAUUUUGUGACGGUACCUGGAGAAGAAGCACCGGCUAAAUGGCGUGCCAGCAGCCGCGGUAAU
rnacentral:rRNA from 1 species